GUGUGUGCCUGCAUCAAACUGAAGGAUGGACAGGCGUGUACUGCAGAGGAGCUAAGGACGUACUGCAAAGGCCAGAUUGCCCAUUUCAAGAUCCCCCGCUAUGUUACUUCUGUUAAGGGCUAUCCUCUUACUGUCUCAGGGAAAAUCCAGAAGAAUAAGCUGCGGGAGCAGACAGAAAAUCUGCUGGGACUGUGAACACAGAGACUUGUGGUAU